GACGAACGCUGGCGGCGUGCUUAACACAUGCAAGUCGAACAGAAAGGCCCUGCUUUUGUGGGGUGCUCGAGUGGCGAACGGGUGAGUAACACGUGAGUAACCUGCCCUGGACUUUGGGAUAACUUCAGGAAACUGGGGCUAAUACCGGAUAGGAGCUCCUGCUGCAUGGUGGGGGUUGGAAAGUUUCGGCGGUUGGGGAUGGACUCGCGGCUUAUCAGCUUGUUGGUGGGGUAGUGGCUUACCAAGGCUUUGACGGGUAGCCGGCCUGAGAGGGUGACCGGCCACAUUGGGACUGAGAUACGGCCCAGACUCCUACGGGAGGCAGCAGUGGGGAAUAUUGCACACUGGGCGGAAGCCUGAUGCAGCAACGCCGCGUGCGGGAUGACGGCCCUCGGGUUGUAAACCGCUUUCGCCUGUGACGAAGCGUGAGUGACGGUAAUGGGUAAAGAAGCACCGGCUAACUACGUG
rnacentral:rRNA from 1 species